AUUGAACGCUGGCGGCAGGCCUAACACAUGCAAGUCGAGCGGAUGAAGGGAGCUUGCUCCUAGAUUCAGCGGCGGACGGGUGAGUAAUGCCUAGGAAUCUGCCUGGUAGUGGGGGAUAACGUCCGGAAACGGGCGCUAAUACCGCAUACGUCCUGAGGGAGAAAGUGGGGGAUCUUCGGACCUCACGCUAUCAGAUGAGCCUAGGUCGGAUUAGCUAGUUGGUGGGGUAAAGGCCUACCAAGGCGACGAUCCGUAACUGGUCUGAGAGGAUGAUCAGUCACACUGGAACUGAGACACGGUCCAGACUCCUACGGGAGGCAGCAGUGGGGAAUAUUGGACAAUGGGCGAAAGCCUGAUCCAGCCAUGCCGCGUGUGUGAAGAAGGUCUUCGGAUUGUAAAGCACUUUAAGUUGGGAGGAAGGGCAGUAAGUUAAUACCUUGCUGUUUUGACGUUACCAACAGAAUAAGCACCGGCUAACUUCGUG
rnacentral:rRNA from 1 species